UUCAGGUGUGUGUUUGUGCAGGCGCAGGUGUGCAGGUGCAGGUGCAGGUGCAGGUGCAGGUGUGCAGUACAUUUAAACACGCCAAUCAAGAUGGCGUGUAUAUAAUAAAAGACGUCAAUCCGUGUGGCGUGUCUGUGCUAAAAGACGCCAACCUCAUUUGCGUCUUUAACUAAAAGACGCCAACACCAUUGGCGUCUUUGUUCAGAAGCAUAUACUAGCAGCCAGUCGCGAAAAAUUAACACCACAGACCCACUUCGCGAUUUUCUCUAGCAGCGGCCAAAUCCUUCGCAAAUUCGUCCGUGUCUUUGUGAUUUCGCCCUCCAUUCAUCAAUCGGUGCUAGUUUUCCCCAAAUUCGUCCAAUUUAUUCGGUAAUUUAUGGCAUCUUCUUCAACUUCUCGUCGUCGGCUCUUAUGUGGUCCUGAGGACCCCUCCGUAUUAUAUCUGCAGAGACAACACGUCUCUAAUAACAUAUGGGCAGGAGUGCCAUCGGAAGACGUACGGUGUAGAAGAUACGAAGGAAUCAUAUGGGAUGUUCCCAUAAAUCCUCGUGUUUUGGCGGUUAUAGAUGAGAUGGGGUUCGGCGGGAUGUUGAGGUGUGGUCAACCGAAAGACAUUGACCACCAUCUUAUCACCGCUUUGAUUGAACGUUGGAGGCCAGAGACUCACACGUUUCACUUUCCAGUCGGUGAAGCGACUGUGAGCUUAGAAGACGUGGAGGUCUUAUGGGGCCUCUGACGUGGAAGUCUUAUGGGGUCUUAUGGGGCCUCAAAACUGACGGUGAGCCUCAACCACAGCUGGGUUGUCACUGUCCCCUAAAUGCACGCCUCCAAUAUCAAAAUCUUGUGUUGUAUCGAAGCAUGGUUCUUGGCCUCUCGUAGACGUACCAACAUCAAAAUCUUGUGUUGCAGCGAAAUAUGGUUCUCGGC